rnacentral:rRNA from 1 species
UAACGAAUAUUCCGCAAUGGGCGCAAGCCUGACGGAGCAAUGCCGCGUGCGGGAUGAAGCGGCUUCGCCGUGUAAACCGCUGUCAGGGAGCAGAAACACUGAUCGCUCCCAAAGGAAGAGACGGCUAACCCUGUGCCAGCAGCCGCGGUAAGACAGGGGUCUCGAGCGUUAAUCGGAAUCACUGGGCUUAAAGGGUGCGUAGGUGGUCCUGCAAGUGUCCUGUGAAAGCCCCCGGCUCAACCGGGGAAUCGCGGGGCAAACUGCGGGACUCGAGGAAGGUAGAGGCCGGUAGAACGAUAGGUGGAGCGGUGGAAUGCGUAGAGAUCUAUCGGAAUGCCGAAGGUGAAGACAGCCGGCUGGGCCUUUCCUGACACUGAGGCACGAAAGCGUGGGGAGCAAACCGGAUUAGAUACCCGUGUAGUCC